GUAGGGAAUCUUCGGCAAUGGGGGCAACCCUGACCGAGCAACGCCGCGUGAGUGAAGAAGGUUUUCGGAUCGUAAAGCUCUGUUGUAAGAGAAGAACGUGUGUGAGAGUGGAAAGUUCACACAGUGACGGUAACUUACCAGAAAGGGACGGCUAACUACGUGCCAGCAGCCGCGGUAAUACGUAGGUCCCGAGCGUUGUCCGGAUUUAUUGGGCGUAAAGCGAGCGCAGGCGGUUUAAUAAGUCUGAAGUUAAAGGCAGUGGCUUAACCAUUGUUCGCUUUGGAAACUGUUAAACUUGAGUGCAGAAGGGGAGAGUGGAAUUCCAUGUGUAGCGGUGAAAUGCGUAGAUAUAUGGAGGAACACCGGUGGCGAAAGCGGCUCUCUGGUCUGUAACUGACGCUGAGGCUCGAAAGCGUGGGGAGCAAACAGGAUUAGAUACCCUAGUAGUCC
rnacentral:rRNA from 1 species